GUUAAGCGACUAAGCGUACACGGUGGAUGCCCUGGCAGUCAGAGGCGAUGAAGGACGUGCUAAUCUGCGAUAAGCGUCGGUAAGGUGAUAUGAACCGUUAUAACCGGCGAUUUCCGAAUGGGGAAACCCAGUGUGUUUCGACACACUAUCAUUAACUGAAUCCAUAGGUUAAUGAGGCGAACCGGGGGAACUGAAACAUCUAAGUACCCCGAGGAAAAGAAAUCAACCGAGAUUCCCCCAGUAGCGGCGAGCGAACGGGGAGCAGCCCAGAGCCUGAAUCAGUGUGUGUGUUAGUGGAAGCGUCUGGAAAGGCGCGCGAUACAGGGUGACAGCCCCGUACACAAAAAUGCACAUGCUGUGAGCUCGAUGAGUAGGGCGGGACACGUGGUAUCCUGUCUGAAUAUGGGGGGACCAUCCUCCAAGGCUAAAUACUCCUGACUGACCGAUAGUGAACCAGUACCGUGAGGGAAAGGCGAAAAGAACCCCGGCGAGGGGAGUGAAAAAGAACCUGAAACCGUGUACGUACAAGCAGUGGGAGCACGCUUAGGCGUGUGACUGCGUACCUUUUGUAUAAUGGGUCAGCGACUUAUAUUCUGUAGCAAGGUUAACCGAAUAGGGGAGCCGAAGGGAAACCGAGUCUUAACUGGGCGUUAAGUUGCAGGGUAUAGACCCGAAACCCGGUGAUCUAGCCAUGGGCAGGUUGAAGGUUGGGUAACACUAACUGGAGGACCGAACCGACUAAUGUUGAAAAAUUAGCGGAUGACUUGUGGCUGGGGGUGAAAGGCCAAUCAAACCGGGAGAUAGCUGGUUCUCCCCGAAAGCUAUUUAGGUAGCGCCUCGUGAAUUCAUCUCCGGGGGUAGAGCACUGUUUCGGCAAGGGGGUCAUCCCGACUUACCAACCCGAUGCAAACUGCGAAUACCGGAGAAUGUUAUCACG
rnacentral:rRNA from 1 species